rnacentral:tRNA from 2 species
GACUCUCUAGCUCAACGGCAGAGCAACGGACUUUUAAUCCGCAGGUUCCGGGUUCGAAUCCCGGGGGAGUCACCA